rnacentral:rRNA from 1 species
GGAUUAGAUACCCUGGUAGUCCACGCCGUAAACGAUGGACACUUGGUGUUGGAGGUAUUGACCCCUUCAGUGCCGAAGCUAACGCGUUAAGUGUCCCGCCUGGGGAGUACGGUCGCAAGAUUAAAACUCAAAGAAAUUGACGGGGGCCCGCACAAGCGGUGGAGCAUGUGGUUUAAUUCGAUGCAACGCGCAAAACCUUACCUAGCCUUGACAUGUACCGGACGGUUACCAGAAAUGGUGCCUUUCUUCGGAACUGGUACACAGGUGCUGCAUGGCUGUCGUCAGCUCGUGCCG